GCAUGACCCAUCACUAACGGACACACCCCUCUAAGAUGUCACGGCAUAUUAUUUGAGGAUAAAAGGCAUAUUCUUCAUCAGUAGAUUAACACAUUCUCCCUCUUUCUGCAGCCAAGCAAGAACAGACAAACAAUACUCCUUUUUCACAACAGGAUGAGAGAUCUUGGAGAACAUUUGAAGAUUUUCAGUUGAUAUUGGAAACUAGAAGAAAAUGAGACUGUGUGGGCUGAAACACACAAGAAGCCUGAUUCCCUACAUGUUUACAGACAGAGAUCCACUCAUCAACAUCGGAGAAGGAAGCGUGGUGAUUGGAUUAAGUACAGCGGACGUUGACGCGGUCACCGCCCACGGCUUCUUCCGACCAGCCAGCCAGAAAGUCAGACCUGUCGGUCCAAACACCACUGAGAGUGACCGAAUCUUUGGGGUAGAACCCACAUGGUUGAAUGCACUUAUUGUA